AGAGAGAGACAUGCGUGCAUAUCAAUAAGCGGAGGAAAAGAAACUAACUAGGAUUCCCUCAGUAACGGCGAGUGAAGCGGGAAGAGCUCAAAUUUGAAAUCUUCAAGGUUCUACCUUGACGAAUUGUAGUUUAAAGAAGUGUUUUCUGUUGGAGUUUUGGUAAAAGUUCUUUGGAAUAGGACAUCAUAGAGGGUGAGAAUCCCGUAUUUGACCAUUAUUUCCAGCUUUGUGAUACACUUUCAAAGAGUCGGAUUGUUUGGGAAUGCAGUCCAAAAUGGGUGGUAAAUUUCAUCUAAAGCUAAAUACUGGCGAGAGACCGAUAGCGAACAAGUACCGUGAGGGAAAGAUGAAAAGAACUUUGAAAAGAGAGUUAAACAGUACGUGAAAUUGUCAAAAGGGAAGCGUUUGACACCAGUGUUGUUUUCUCGAAAAUCAAUUAAAAAAGGCAGGAUUUUGUGUUGUAUUGACUUUAUCAGCUUUCUGCACUCUUUUCUUGUCUUUUUUAACGCACUUUUCGUUUAACAAGUCAACAUCAAUUUCUUUUGUUGUAAAAGGGUCAUUGGAAGGUGGCUUUCUUUUCGGAGAAAGUGUUUAUAGCCUUUGGCCUCUGCAAUCGGAGAGAUUGAGGUCUGCAGCGUAGAUCCUUCGGGGUUAGAUACAUUUGUGCUAAGUUAUAGCCUUUCAUAGACAACUUGUUGACUAUGAUCAGUCAUGUAGCUUACUCGCUUAUGCUAUUUUACCUACGCUUAGGAUGUUGAUGUGAUACUGCGAGCA
rnacentral:rRNA from 1 species